rnacentral:rRNA from 1 species
UACGUAGGGUGCAAGCGUUGUCCGGAAUUGAUUGGGCGUAAAGAGCUCGUAGGCGGCUUGUCGCGUCUGCCGUGAAAGUCCGGGGCUCAACUCCGGGAUCUGCGGUGGGUACGGGCAGACUAGAGUGAUGUAGGGGGAGACUGGAAUUCCUGGUGUAGCGGUGAAAUGCGCAGAUAUCAGGAGGAACACCGAUGGCGAAGGCAGGUCUCUGGGCAUUAACUGACGCUGAGGAGCGAAAAGCAUGGGGGAGCG